UUUUUUUUUUUUUGCUGUUUCGUUUUACUCGAAACUAGAAUGGUGCUAGAGCUGAUCACAGCAAUUCUCUGACCCAUUAUAAGGUAAUUCAUUUCUGAAUCGAAUGAAUGCCUUACUAACAACUUUGAAAGUUUUCUGAAAAUUCCACUACAUUUUCCAAUUUUUUUAAAGCAUUUCUUCACCCCAACUAACAGAAGGAAAUGAGCUUUGAUUAUUAGUUUGUUUUUCAAAGUUAGUUGUUAUGCUAGUCUUUUUAUUCAUUCAUUUUAUUUACUUGUAGAGGGACCAAUCAAAAAUACGGGAAAUUAUAGAUCAUUUCGGGCCAACCCUUCCAAAUCUAGAGGAUGCCUUAAGAAAUCAUACAAAUGAAGCAAGAAAUGUAAGUAGCACUACAGAUGUAAAGCAUGAUGGCCAACAACAACAGAAAG
rnacentral:misc_RNA from 1 species